rnacentral:rRNA from 1 species
UGGGGAAUAUUGGACAAUGGGCGCAAGCCUGAUCCAGCCAUGCCGCGUGAGUGAUGAAGGCCCUAGGGUUGUAAAGCUCUUUCACCGGUGAAGAUAAUGACGGUAACCGGAGAAGAAGCCCCGGCUAACUUCGUGCCAGCAGCCGCGGUAAUACGAAGGGGGCUAGCGUUGUUCGGAUUUACUGGGCGUAAAGCGCACGUAGGCGGACUUUUAAGUCAGGGGUGAAAUCCCGGGGCUCAACCCCGGUACUGCCUUUGAUACUGGAAGUCUUGAGUAUGGUAGAGGUGAGUGGAAUUCCGAGUGUAGAGGUGAAAUUCGUAGAUAUUCGGAGGAACACCAGUGGCGAAGGCGGCUCACUGGACCAUUACUGACGCUGAGGUGCGAAAGCGUGGGGAGCAAACAGG